ACAAACUUGGUCAUUUAGAGGAAGUAAAAGUCGUAACAAGGUUUCCGUAGGUGAACCUGCGGAAGGAUCAUUACCGAAUUUUAAACUGAAGUUGUAGCUGGCCGUUACCACGGCAUGUGCACACUUUGGUUAUCCAUCCUUUACACCUCUGUGCACUCUUCAUGGGAAAAGGGCCGAGAAAGAACUUGCUCACGCAGGUUCCGCACCGCUCUCUCUCUCAUGUUUUUACAUCCACACACAUCAGUCACCGAAUGUACACCGCGUUUUAACGCAUUAUUAUACAACUUUCAGCAACGGAUCUCUUGGCUCUCGCAUCGAUGAAGAACGCAGC
rnacentral:misc_RNA from 1 species